rnacentral:tRNA from 1 species
GGGCCCGUAGUCGAGCCAGGACCAAGACGUGGGCCUUCGGAGUGAGCCCCGGGCGGAAAUCCGGGUCUUCGGAGUAAGCCCAAAAUCGUGGGUUCAAAUCCCACCGGGCCCG